rnacentral:lncRNA from 1 species
GGGGGGGGGGGGGGGGGGGGGGGGGGGGGGGGGGGGGGGGGGGGGGGGGGGGGGGGUUCCGAUCUUGCUGUUGCCGUGGGGGCCCGGCGGCGCCUUGAGGCGCGGGCUGAAGCGGGCCGGCUUGGCGAAGGAGGAGGCGUGAGCGGCGGAGUUGGGGUGGCCCUGGCCGGCGGGGCCCAGGCGGAGCUGCACGGCGGCGCUGCCCGGCUUGCUCCUCCGCCGGGUCCGCUGGGGGGGGGGGGGGGGGGGGGGGGGCGCCGGGUCCGCUCCGGGGGGCCGCCGCCGUAGCGCGCGUUCAGCUGCACAUUGAAGGUGCGCUGCUGCUGCUGCUCCCUCCCGAGGAGCGUCGGGCGCUGCUGCCGGCUGCCAGAGGAGCCCCCCCGGCCGGGCUGCAGCACGUACGUGAUCCUCCUUAGCCUGCCCUUUUCGGAGGCUGCGAGCCCUCGUGACAAAAGUGCCCAGGCAGCGAGGAGGAGGAAGCCCCAUCUGAUCCGACCCAUUUCCACAGCGGCAGCCCCGGCAGGGGGGGGGGGGGGGGGGGGGGGGGGGGGGGGGGGGGGGGGGGGGGGGGGGGGGGGGGGGGGGGGGGGGGGGGGGGGGGGGGGGGGCGGCAGCCCCGGCAGCCGGCGAACUUCGCGGAGCCCUGGUGCAGCGCAAGGCUUUCCUCUCCGCCAAAGGACGCGCGUGUGCGCGACCUGCGCCCGGGGCGCGGGUCCCUCCUCCGCUCGCUGCCCCCCAACCUGCUCCGGGCGGGCGGAGAAGGAAAAGAGCCUCGGGAUCCUCCCGCCCGCCCCCCAAACUGUUCGGAAAGUUCAGCAAACACUUCGCCCCGCGGAGCAGGAAAACAUCGUUGGAAGAAAGGAAGCGGCGGGGGGGGGGGGGGGGGGGGGGGGGGGGGGGGGCGGGUGCGAGCCGAGCUGCGAGCCGGAGCGGGAAGGGAGGAGGAGCAGCAGGGGAAGGGUGUUUGCUGGAGGGGGGUGGUCGCAAUGGAGAGCAGAUGUCUCGGCUGCCGGGGGGCUGCGGGGGGGGGGGGGGGGGGGGGGGGGGGGGGGGGGGGGGGGGGGGGGGGGGGGGGGGGGGGGGGGGGGGGGGGGGGGGGGGGGGGGGGGGGGGGGGGGGGGGGGGGGGGGGGGGCGCAGCCAAUCUGGGGCCGGCCUGACGUCAGGGGCGCUCCCGGGCGGGGAGGGGGCCCGGCCGGGCCAGUGCCCGCGGGGCCCGGCGAGCUCCGGGGCCCGGCUCCGCAGCCGGCGCCGCCUGGGAAAGGCGAGCCUGGGAAGUACCUGUGUGAACCUGGGGGACCCGGCCCGCAGAGCUGCCCGAGCUGCUGGGGCGGGGUACCUGUGCUUCGGCAGCUUUCUGUUGUGUUUCAAUGGAGGUGAGGCUUUACAGCCCCAAAAGAGUAAUGUACGUGCUUCGCUCUGUAGGUGGGGACUCGAUGGAAGCGCUUACACAUGUUCAAGGCACAGCUGGUUGUGUUUUGGGGGCAGGGGCUCAGCCUGAAGUGUGAAAGCCCCCUCCUGCCACAGCCACAUCUGCUGCACCCAACCACAGCCUGCUCCCACCUUACAAGGACUAGCAGAAACACAGAGGGGAGAGACACGCAGCAUCGGAAAUGGUGGUGCUAUGGAGACUGUGAGAGGAGAAGGGGAAACAGCAGAAACUUCCAGGACAGUGUGAGGAAAUACAUUCAGGGAAGAAGAGGUGGGACACACUGCACCUCGUACAGGUAAGUUUUGAUCCAGCAAAGAACAUAAGCAUGGUUUAGGCGUCCUUUUAAAUUCAAGGAGCUGGAAUACAAGGAUGCCUGAGCUUUGCAGUCUUAACACUUUUCCACUCAUAUGUCUGUCUC